UACCAGCUCUCCGAGUGGUAGGGAUGAUUAUUGGGCUUAAAGCGUCCGUAGCCGGCUUAGCAAGUCUCCUGUUAAAUUCAGCGACCUAAUCGUUGAGCCGCGGGAGAUACUACUAGGCUAGGAGGCGGGAGAGGUCAACGGUACUUCCGGGGUAGGGGUGAAAUCCUAUAAUCCCGGGAGGACCACCAGUGGCGAAGGCUGUUGACUAGAACGCGCUCGACGGUGAGGGACGAAAGCUGGGGGAGCGAGCCGGAUUAGAUACCCGGGUAGUCCCAGCUGUAAACGAUGCGAGCUAGGUGUUGGGGUGGCUACGUGCCACUUCAGUGCCGCAGGGAAGCCAUUAAGCUCGCCGCCUGGGGAUACGGCCGCAAGGCUGAAACUUAAAGGAAUUGGCGGGGGAGCGACCACAAGGCGUGAAGCUUGCGGUUC
rnacentral:rRNA from 1 species